UAUACUAACUCAAGAAGACAUUCAUAGUUUCCGCAAGAUGGCUGCAACCUCUCUCUCUCUCAUCUUCAAGAUCCUCGUCAUCGCGCUAGCCAGUUCUUCCCUCCUUCUCACCCCAGGAGAGGGCAAGUACGUGUGUCAAGGCAAAUGCGAGGACAUACCGGACUGCGACAACUGGUGCAAGUCGCCCGGCGGUUACUCCAAAGGAGGGCAGUGCGUGCCGCCGCUCUACCAGUUCUGCUGCUGCAUUGAAUAGUCAUCCAUUAUAUUUCUCAAAUGUCUUGUAAUCGUGUGUACAAUCAGCAUCGGUAAUAAAAUGUGAGUCGGUAGGAGUUAAAGGUAA